GAUAAACGCUGGCGGCGUGCCUAAUACAUGCAAGUCGAGCGAACGGACGAGAAGCUUGCUUCUCUGAUGUUAGCGGCGGACGGGUGAGUAACACGUGGAUAACCUACCUAUAAGACUGGGAUAACUUCGGGAAACCGGAGCUAAUACCGGAUAAUAUUUUGAACCGCAUGGUUCAAAGGUGAAAGACGGUCUUGCUGUCACUUAUAGAUGGAUCCGCGCUGCAUUAGCUAGUUGGUAAGGUAACGGCUUACCAAGGCAACGAUACAUAGCCGACCUGAGAGGGUGAUCGGCCACACUGGAACUGAGACACGGUCCAGACUCCUACGGGAGGCAGCAGUAGGGAAUCUUCCGCAAUGGGCGAAAGCCUGACGGAGCAACGCCGCGUGAGUGAUGAAGGUCUUCGGAUCGUAAAACUCUGUUAUUAGGGAAGAACAUAUGUGUAAGUAACUGUGCACAUCUUGACGGUACCUAAUCAGAAAGCCACGGCUAACUACGUGCCAGCAGCCGCGGUAAUACGUAGGUGGCAAGCGUUAUCCGGAAUUAUUGGGCGUAAAGCGCGCGUAGGCGGUUUUUUAAGUCUGAUGUGAAAGCCCACGGCUCAACCGUGGAGGGUCAUUGGAAACUGGAAAACUUGAGUGCAGAAGAGGAAAGUGGAAUUCCAUGUGUAGCGGUGAAAUGCGCAGAGAUAUGGAGGAACACCAGUGGCGAAGGCGACUUUCUGGUCUGUAACUGACGCUGAUGUGCGAAAGCGUGGAGAUCAAACAGGAUUAGAUACCCUGGUAGUCCACGCCGUAAACGAUGAGUGCUAAGUGUUAGGGGGUUUCCGCCCCUUAGUGCUGCAGCUAACGCAUUAAGCACUCCGCCUGGGGAGUACGACCGCAAGGUUGAAACUCAAAGGAAUUGACGGGGACCCGCACAAGCGGUGGAGCAUGUGGUUUAAUUCGAAGCAACGCGAAGAACCUUACCAAAUCUUGACAUCCUUUGACAACUCUAGAGAUAGAGCCUUCCCCUUCGGGGGACAAAGUGACAGGUGGUGCAUGGUUGUCGUCAGCUCGUGUCGUGAGAUGUUGGGUUAAGUCCCGCAACGAGCGCAACCCUUAAGCUUAGUUGCCAUCAUUAAGUUGGGCACUCUAAGUUGACUGCCGGUGACAAACCGGAGGAAGGUGGGGAUGACGUCAAAUCAUCAUGCCCCUUAUGAUUUGGGCUACACACGUGCUACAAUGGACAAUACAAAGGGCAGCGAAACCGCGAGGUCAAGCAAAUCCCAUAAAGUUGUUCUCAGUUCGGAUUGUAGUCUGCAACUCGACUACAUGAAGCUGGAAUCGCUAGUAAUCGUAGAUCAGCAUGCUACGGUGAAUACGUUCCCGGGUCU
rnacentral:rRNA from 1 species